rnacentral:lncRNA from 1 species
UCAGAGUUAUAUUUUUUUAAAAAAAUAUAUUAUAAUUAUAAUUUAUUAAUCAAUUCCUAUUUACAGAUUUAAUUAAUUGAUAAAAUGAAUAUGGGAACAAAAACUAAGAACAAAUAAUAUUAAUUAAAAUACAUUCAAUCCAACAAAUUCGAAAGAGAUACAUAUAGUAUCCAAUGUAAUCACCAUGAAUACAUAAUAAAACAUCUUAAAUUAAAAAAAAAAUCUCAAAUAUAAAACAACACAGUUAAGUUAUAAUACCAGAAACCAAGCCAAGUUACCCAACAAAACUUCUAAAGAUUAAUGGAAAUAUUCCAAUAGCAAGACUUUAAGCUUGACUUCCAGCAGUAAUGCCCUCUUCUAGUGGGAAUACUCCAACAGCCACACUCUAACACUCCAAUGCAGACACUCAACGACACUCCAACCCAUACCCAGCAACCCACCAUAUUCCAAUAACACUCUAAUUCCAGCCACAUACCCAGCAACAUUCCAAACCAAACCAGCAAAUAAAUCUAUACAAAAUCAAUCACAAUACCCAAUGUUAUCAAAUGCAUAACAUCUACACUACAAUCCUUAACAACAACCAUUAUAAAGAGAUUAUAAAUCUCAUAAACAUCAAUAUAUUUUAUUUCGUUAUAAACCAUCUCUGACAGAGCAGUCCAGUUCAAUAGAACAUAACUCGUUCCAAAAAACCAUUCUGGUUCAAUAAACAUUACCCAUUCUUAAAAACCAUUCUAGUUCAACAGAACAUUAACCAUUCUUAAAAUUUACUGUUUUACAUUUACUUAGUGUCAU